UGCCAGCCGCCGCGGUAAUACGGGGGGAGCAAGCGUUGUCCGGAAUUACUGGGCGUAAAGGGCGUGUAGGCGGCCUAAUCAGUCAGAUGUGAAAGCCCACGGCUUAACCGUGGAACUGCAUUUGAUACUAUUAUGCUUGAGUUCGAGAUGGGGUAGUGGAAUUCCCAGUGUAGCGGUGAAAUGCGUAGAUAUUGGGAAGAACACCAGUAGCGAAGGCGGCUACCUGGCUCGUAACUGACGCUAAUGCGCGAAAGCGCGGGGAGCAAACAGGAUUAGAUA
rnacentral:rRNA from 1 species